rnacentral:rRNA from 1 species
GACAGAGGGUGCAAACGUUGUUCGGAAUUACUGGGCGUAAAGCGUGUGUAGGCGGCUAGGUAAGUCGGAUGUGAAAGCCCCGGGCUCAACUCGGGAAGUGCACUCGAUACUGCUUAGCUCGAGUACCGGAGAGGUUGGUGGAAUUCUCGGUGUAGAGGUGAAAUUCGUAGAUAUCGAGAGGAACACCGGUGGCGAAGGCGGCCAACUGGACGAGUACUGACGCUGAGACACGAAAGCGGUGGGGAGCAAACAGG